rnacentral:rRNA from 1 species
UAGCGGAGGGUGCGUAGCGUUGUCCGGAAUCAGCUAGGGCGUAAAGGGCGCGUAGGCGCGUUGGUAAGUCAGCUGUGAAAUCUCCGAGCUUAACUCGGUAACGGUCAGCUGAUACUGCUGUGCUAGAGUACAGAAGGGGCAAUCGGAAUUCUUGGUGUAGCGGUGAAAUGCGUAGAUAUCAAGAGGAACACCUGAGGCGAAGGCGGGUUGCUAGGCUGAUACUGACGCUGGAGGCGCGAAAGCUAGGGUAGCAAACGGG